CCUAAUCAUUAUCUGAAGUAUCGAAACUGAAACGGAAACUAACAAUGCUGGUCUCAACUUCUCAAGCUUCUUUCUAAAAAAGACUUCUCAAGCCUCGAAGACGAUGUACGUCCACACUAGGGUUUCUCUUUUAUAAAUUGUAUAUAACACUUUGUAUUUAGAAAAAAAUUAUUCUAAGAGACAUUUUUUUAGUUUCUAAUUACAUAAAUGAACACUUUAUGCGGGAGAAAGGGUGUAUAAUGUCCUUUUUGUCCUUUAACUAAAUCAAAAUUCGUUUUCUUUCGUUUUUUGUCAUUGUAUUUUUUAAUCAUAUUUCUCUUUCUUCUGUACGAGAGAGAAAGAAACGUUAUACAAAUCCACUCUAAUGGAUCUUUUUUCUUAAGAUUUGUUAAUCCAAUCCUUAAAGUUUCAUUUCAUAACUCUAUUAAUUGAGAAACUCGAUCUUUCAUUGUCUUUUUUUCGUCUUCUUCUUCUCCUCCUGUGGUUUUUCACACAACAUAAAGUUAUUCGCGCUCAACGACCCAAUUGCUUCCCAUGGACUCAGAGCUUCACAUAAAAAAGAACCCAGAAAUAAAGAACUAAACGUUAUCACACAAAAUCAAUUUGAUUGAUCUCAUAACUUCAGGUCCAACCAUGGGGCAAUAGAAAAGUAAAUUGUUAAAGUCAGAUUUAAGAGAUGCCUAAACGAAGGUGAUGGUGGUUAUGGAGGUGGCGGUGGAUGUGGAGACCGUGGUAGAGGUGGCAGUGGUGGUUAUGGAGAUGGCAGUGGUGGCUAUGAACGAAGUUUAGUCCCGUAGGCGGUGGAUGUGGAGACCGUUGGCGGUGGUGGUUAUGGAGGUAGCGUUGGUGGUUAUGAACGAGGCUCAGUCCGGUGGAAGCGGUGGUGGUGGAUACCAUAGAUGAGGUGGUGGUGGAUACCAUAGAUGAGGUGGUGGUGAUGGUUAUGGAGAAGGUGGUGGUUGUAAGGUGAUUAAGGUUUGUCAAAAAAUUAAGGCUUGAGUCUCUGUUCAAGUUUCAGAUUUGACCAUCUGCGUCGCAAUUUUCACUAAUCAAUCAUAAAGUUUGACCGUAGCGGCGGUUUGAAAUCUACAACUGUGGAGAGUGGCUUCACCGGAGGAAGGGAAGGGAAGAGGCGGAGCAGCCAUCCGCAGCCACAGAGGAGGCGGUGAAGAGAGCAACGCGACGUCAGCUACCGACAAGAGGCCGUAAGUGUUUUUUGAGAGGAGUAAGCAAUUCGAGCAAUUUGGUACCUAUCAAUUAUUUUGUGUGGUUACUAUCAGUUCCCAUUAUCCUAAAAACUUUACAUUCAUCAAUUGAGAUGUGGAGGGCAAUUUGGUAAAAAGCACACCUCGAUCUCAGCAAUUGUGUGCAUCAAGUGAAAUGUGUUCUUUUGUGUAAUAAAAGAGAGAAAAAUGUUCUUUUGUGUAACUGUCUCCUGUAUUUAUAUACCUCGAAAGUUUCAAGAGAAGUUACAGUUAUGUUAGUACCCAAA